rnacentral:rRNA from 1 species
AGAGUUUGAUCAUGGCUCAGGACGAACGCUGGCGGCGUGCUUAACACAUGCAAGUCAGGGGGUGGGGCAACCCAUCACCGGCGAACGGGUGCGUAACACGUGAGCGACCUGCCUUCGAGUGGGGGAUAGCCGGCCCAACGGCCGGGUAAUACCGCAUACGACCAUGCCGGGGCAUCCCGGGGUGGUGAAACCACUUGGGCUCGGAGAGGGGCUCGCGGCCUAUCAGCUAGUUGGCGAGGUAACGGCUCACCAAGGCGAUGACGGGUAGCUGGUCUGAGAGGAUGGCCAGCCACAUUGGGACUGAGAGACGGCCCAGACUCCUACGGGAGGCAGCAGUGGGGAAUCUUGCGCAAUGGCCGAAAGGCUGACGCAGCGACGCCGCGUGGGGGAUGAAGGCCUUCGGGUUGUAAACCCCUGUUGCCCGGGACGAACAGCGCCAUUCGUGGCGCCUGACGGUACCGGGUGAGGAAGCACCGGCUAACUCUGUGCCAGCAGCCGCGGUAAUACAGAGGGUGCGAGCGUUGUCCGGAAUCACUGGGCGUAAAGGGCGCGUAGGCGGCCCCUUAAGCGUGUCGUGAAAGCGCGGGGCUCAACCCCGCGUCGGCGAUGCGAACUGGGGGGCUGGAGCACGUCAGAGGCA